UGGGGAAUUUUGGACAAUGGGCGAAAGCCUGAUCCAGCAAUGCCGCGUGUGUGAAGAAGGCCUUCGGGUUGUAAAGCACUUUUGUCCGGAAAGAAAUCCUUGGCUCUAAUACAGUCGGGGGAUGACGGUACCGGAAGAAUAAGCACCGGCUAACUACGUGCCAGCAGCCGCGGUAAUACGUAGGGUGCAAGCGUUAAUCGGAAUUACUGGGCGUAAAGCGUGCGCAGGCGGUUUGCUAAGACCGAUGUGAAAUCCCCGGGCUCAACCUGGGAACUGCAUUGGUGACUGGGCAGGCUAGAGUAUGGCAGAGGGGGGUAGAAUUCCACGUGUAGCAGUGAAAUGCGUAGAGAUGUGGAGGAAUACCGAUGGCGAAGGCAGCCCCCUGGGCCAAUACUGACGCUCAUGCACGGAAGCGUGGGGAGCAAACAGGAUUAGAUACCCUGGUAGUCCACGCCCUAAACGAUGUCAACUAGUUGUUGGGGAUUCAUUUCCUUAGUAACGUAGCUAACGCGUGAAGUUGACCGCCUGGGGAGUACGGUCGCAAGAUUAAAACUUAAAUGAAUUGACGGGGUCAUAGCUGUUUCCU
rnacentral:rRNA from 1 species